rnacentral:rRNA from 1 species
UACGUAGGGGGCAAGCGUUGUCCGGAUUCAUUGGGCGUAAAGAGCGUGUAGGCGGCCAGGUAGGUCCGUUGUGAAAACUCGAGGCUCAACCUCGAGACGUCGGCGGAAACCCUCUGGCUAGAGUCCGGAAGAGGAGAGUGGAAUUCCUGGUGUAGCGGUGAAAUGCGCAGAUAUCAGGAGGAACACCGAUGGCGAAGGCAGCUCGCUGGGACGGUACUGACGCUGAGACGCGAAAGCGUGGGGAGCAAACAGGGAUUAGAACCUACGGUAGUCAGA